CACUUGGUGGCCAGGGUGGGAGAGGUCUCUCUGCUCCUGUCUCUGUGGUGCCAGGCACAGAGAAUUGCAGGGAGCUCCAAGGAGAUGGCUGCCACCAGGAUCUUGUCUUGGCUGGUGAUGAUAAUUCUUCACAUUCAGGUGCAUGCAGAAACAAGUGGUCCCCCAACAACUCCUGACCACACGACUAGUAAGUAGAACUUACCAGAUUGCUACUUUAUAUAAUAGUGACAGAUUUAUGUUUUGUCAUAGUAUUUAUUCUUGGGAACAAAUUAGUAUGAUUAAAAAGCUCAUGUUUUCUUUAGGAUGGGGAUGGAGAUGUACAUGAGAAGUAAAUUAUUUGGGAGGCAGGAAUUUGGGGAUGGCUUUGCUCUCCAGCAAUCAGUCUCCUUGCUAGAAGUAAGCUCUUCUACCAAUUGUGCCCUUCAGUGGGAUCUUGACUCACUGAAGGAAGGGUAGAGAGCACUGACAGAGCUCCCAAAGACUUGGUCCUAAUUCUCUUGAUCUCUGUGUUUUUU